ACCAUGCCUCCACGUUCGGUCCCUCUCGACCACCGCAACUGACUCACCGCGAAUAGGAGGAUUGGUCCUUUGCCCAGUUGUUCGAAGGCGUCCGCGCGCUCAAGUGAUCGACCAGGCUUUUCAAGAAGUGGGUGCCGUCGGACGUUCGAAAUGAUUCGAACGUCCGGCAGCUCCGACCACCUGUCCACUAAACCCUCGCCCAAUCCAUCAAAUUCCACUAUUAUGGGGUCAAAUCUCGGCACGGACCACAAUCUACCCGGAUGAACGGCAAGGGGGCGCUUCGAGACCGAUAGGGUGCAAGAACACCCCUUGAGGGUGAGCCGAAGCAACAGGUGCGUAGUGUCUGUGACCCCACUUCGGGUACCAGCGCGGCCAACUUGAUCUCUCCCAAGUCGGUCAGAGCCAGCGCCAACGUUGAUGUCGAAAUCACGACGGACGGAAUCAAAGAAUUACCGUCUCUUUUGUCUGCAAUGAAAGGAAAGCAGUGCUUGGAAUAGAUCUGAAUAGUUAGUAGUUAUAACAUUGUAUACGUAAAUUUGUAUGAUUAUUUUUUAGAAGUUUACCAAUAUUUUUGAUGGGAGUUUGUAAAUUUUCUCCUCUUGUAGUGUAUUUAUUAGUUAUAAUUCAUCAAUUUCUUUAUCUAAGCAAAAGUUUCAUUUCAAAAGGAGCAAAAAGUUAGAAGAAGGUGAGAAAAGUAAGUAUGGAGAAACAUUGUUUCGACGUUAGAAUUUCUCUGUCGAUUAAAA